rnacentral:misc_RNA from 1 species
GAUGAAGAACGUAGUGAAAUGCGUUAAGUAAUGUGAAUUGCAGAAUUCAGUGAAUCAUCGAAUCUUUGAACGCACAUUGCGCCCGCCAGUAUUCUGGCGGGCAUGCCUGUUCGAGCGUCAUUACAACCCUCAGGCCCCCGGGCCUGGCGUUGGGGAUCGGCGGAGCCCCCCGUGGGCACACGCCGUCCCCCAAAUACAGUGGCGGUCCCGCCGCAGCUUCCAUCGCGUAGUAGCUAACACCUCGCGACUGGAGAGCGGCGCGGCCACGCCGUAAAACACCCAACUCUUCUGAAGUUGACCUCGAAUCAGGUAGGAAUACCCGCUGAACUUAAGCAUAUCAAUAAGCGGAGGA